rnacentral:rRNA from 1 species
GACGAACGCUGGCGGCGUGCUUAACACAUGCAAGUCGAACGAUGAAGCCGGAGCUUGCUCUGGUGAAUUAGUGGCGAACGGGUGAGUAACACGUGAGUAACCUGCCCUUGACUCUGGGAUAACUGCGGGAAACUGUAGCUAAUACCGGAUACGACCCUCGGAGGCAUCUCCUGGGGGUGGAAAGAAUUUCGGUCAAGGAUGGACUCGCGGCCUAUCAGCUAGUUGGUGAGGUAAAGGCUCACCAAGGCGACGACGGGUAGCCGGCCUGAGAGGGUGACCGGCCACACUGGGACUGAGACACGGCCCAGACUCCUACGGGAGACAGCAGUGGGGAAUAUUGCACAAUGGGCGCAAGCCUGAUGCAGCAACGCCGCGUGAGGGAUGACGGCCUGCGGGUUGUAAACCUCUUUUAGCAGGGAAGAAGCGAAAGUGACGGUACCUGCAGAAAAAGCACCGGCUAACUACGUGCCAGCCGCCGCAGUAA